UUUUAUAUACAACCAAAUCGAAUUGUGCAUAUUGAUGGUGCUAAGGCUAAAAAGGUAAAAAUACCUGAAUUCAACCAAGGGACACUUCAAUACGAACUAAUUAUUCGAUCCAACACGACAAUAAAUACGUUGGGUAAUUUUGACCUAAAAAAAACAUUCAAGCGGUGCAACCACAAUUAGUGGAAUUGUGUGAUGUACCUCAACAUCUUAAUGCAUGCAUUAUUAUACGUGGAUACAUUAAAACAA